rnacentral:rRNA from 1 species
ACACAGGGUUUUUGUACCCUGGUAGUCCACGCCCUAAACGAUGUCUACUAGUUGUCGGGUUUUAAUUAACUUGGUAACGCAGCUAACGCGUGAAGUAGACCGCCUGGGGAGUACGGUCGCAAGAUUAAAACUCAAAGGAAUUGACGGGGACCCGCACAAGCGGUGGAUGAUGUGGAUUAAUUCGAUGCAACGCGAAAAACCUUACCUACCCUUGACAUGGAAGGAAUCCUGGAGAGAUCUGGGAGUGCCCGAAAGGGAACCUUCACACAGGUGCUGCAUGGCUGUCGUCAGCUCGUGUCGUGAGAUGUUGGGUUAAGUCCCGCAACGAGCGCAACCCUUGUCAUUAGUUGCUACGCAAGAGCACUCUAAUGAGACUGCCGGUGACAAACCGGAGGAAGGUGGGGAUGACGUCAAGUCCUCAUGGCCCUUAUGGGUAGGGCUUCACACGUCAUACAAUGGUACAUACAGAGGGCCGCCAACCCGCGAGGGGGAGCUAAUCCCAGAAAGUGUAUCGUAGUCCGGAUUGUAGUCUGCAACUCGACUACAUGAAGUUGGAAUCGCUAGUAAUCGCGGAUCAGCAUGUCGCGGUGAAUACGUUCCCGGGUCUUGUACACACCGCCCGUCAC